rnacentral:rRNA from 1 species
UGACGCUGAGGCGCGAAAGCAAGGGGAUCAAACAGACUUAGAUACUCUGGUAGUCCUUGCCCUAAACGAUGGGUACUAGGUGUUCGUCCUUUUUAAGGAUGAGUGCCGCAGCUAACGCAUUAAGUACCCCACCUGGGGAGUACGAUCGCAAGGUUGAAACUCAAAGGAAUUGACGGGGACCCGCACAAGCGGUGGAGGAUGUGGUUCAAUUCGACGCAACGCGAAGAACCUUACCUAGGCUUGACAUGGUAGUGACCAACUAUGGAAACAUAGUCUUCCGCAAGGACACUACCACAGGUGGUGCAUGGCUGUCGUCAGCUCGCGUCGUGAGAUGUCGGGUUAAGUCCCGCAACGAGCGCAACCCUUAUCCUUAGUUGUUUCCACGAAAGUGGUUACCCUCUAAGGA